rnacentral:rRNA from 1 species
AGUUCGGAUUGCAGGCUGCAACCCGUCUGCAUGAAGUUGGAAUCACUAGUAAUCGCGGAUCAGCAUGCCGCGGUGAAUGCGUUCUCGGGCCUUGUACACACCGCCCGUCACACCAUGAGAGUCGGGAACACCCGAAGUCCGUAGCCUAACCGCAAGGGGGGCGCGGCCGAAGGUGGGCUCGAUAAUUGGGGUGAAGUCGUAACAAGGUAAC